AAUAAAUUGAAAAAAUAAGCUGGAAAUUCUGAGGUCCAUGGCAUGUAGCAUUUGUUGUAAGGAAAGCCAUCUCCAGAUCUGGCCUUCAACAUUUGGCUCCUGUUCAAAACCUCAAUAACGCCAUCACGAAUGGACCAGUGAAGGAGUCAAGAAUGGCGCUAGAAUGGACUGUAGGUGGUUCUUUCUCUAUUUUCAAUUCUAGAUAAAAAUGUUAAGUCAUGGAUGGAAAUAACAAC
rnacentral:lncRNA from 11 species